rnacentral:lncRNA from 1 species
AAUUAAAAUAGAAAAUCAUAAGAAGGAAUAUAUGGUACCAAAAGGAGUGAGAGGAGCAUGAGGAAGAGAAAUUCCACGGCAUGAUUUAAUUGGAUAGGUGAAAAUGCCAGUAAUUUUCACUUCAGGUGAUGCUAAUUCUGUUGCAAAAGAUGGUGUAACUGUUGCAGCGCCCAUUGUUGUUUCUUGUUCUCUCUUUCUCUUUGUUGCUUUGUUUAUAAAUAGACUCAGUUCAAUGCAAAAAUGCAAUGAACUGAACCAAAACUUUGAACUUUACACUAAGAGCCACUAAGAGCCACGUCACACUUUACAACAAUCUAACCACACUUUCUUUAAUAAAUUACUAACCUCUUGCUAAAUAUUUUUGGAUCCUGAAAUGAUUUUGAACAUCCAUUUGUCUAUAAAUUAUAAUAAAAUUAAAAAUAAAAAAAAAUAAAAAAAUAAUACUAAAUUUAAGUUAAAAUAAUUUAGAGGUGACAAUUGGAUGUAUUAAAGACAAAAUUUAUCUCAUACAUCUAUUAAAAAUCUAUCAAAUUCAUUCACUAUAAUAAAAGUUAAGUUAAUGAAGUAAGUACAUUUAUAUGUAUGGAUUAAUACAAUCUCACCAACACAUUUUAAUAAUUUAAUGGAUUUUUUUCAUUAUAUUUUUCAAAAAAUUUAAUUAAAAUAUGAAAUUUUUUCAAAAAAAAAAAUGAAAAAAAAAUAUCAAAACAAUUAAAAAUGAAAAAAAAAAUUAAAAUACAAAAGUAGAUUUUUUUAAAAACACAAAAAAACGAUUUUUUUAUAAAAAAUAUUAUUUCUUUUUGAAAAAAUAUCAAAAGUCAAUUUUUUACGAAAACAAAACUUUUUUUUUCAAAAAUACAAAAAAUUAUGUUUUCCUGAAGAAUCCAAAAGAAUCCGAUCCCCCCCCCCCCCCCCCAAAUUUCUGAAAACUAAAAAAAUGAUUUUUUUUAAAAAAGUGAUAUUUUCAAAAAUAAAAUAAUCAAUUAUUUUCAAAAUAAAAAAAAAGUAUUUAAAUUUUUUUGGAUGGAUGAAUAUCAUCACUAAAAAUAUGAUAGAACGAAUUUGAUGGAUUUUAUUCUUAAUGGAUGGAUUAAUAUGAAUAUUUUUUUAAAAAAAUUAAUGAAUAUUAAUGGACUAAUGGAUUAUUUAAUUAAUUAUUAACGAUCUAAUCCAUCUAUUUUUUCACACCUAUAAAACAUUAAUAUUCAUAGAAGAUAAAAUGUAAAUAAAUUAUAAAUAAUAUAUUAAAAAUAAAAACUAUUGUCGUAUAAUUUUAAAAAAUAAAACAAUUAUUUUAUAAGUUAAGACAAAAUUUAAAAUAUCUAUUCAAUAUUUUUUUAAUAAACUUAAUUAAUUUUUUUACAUAUUUGAAAAAAAUAGUCGAUAACUUUCUAUUAUUUAAUAUUUGGAUAAUAUUUUAUCUUUUCUAUUUAUAUAAUUUUUACAAUAUAAAAAUAAUUUAUUAAAGUUUUUGACUCACUAUAUAUUGGAUCAAUUAUUUAUUUUUUCCAUUUCAUAUAAUUUCACAGUAUAAAAGAAUAAUUACUUAUUAAAAUUUUAUUCAUAUAUUCUCGUUUAAUAAAUUCUACCGUAUAAAAGAUAAAAUUUAUUAAAUUUUAUUCGAUAUAUUGGAUCAAUAAUUUUAUUUUUUUCCAUUUCAUAUAAUUUCAGAAUAUCAACGAGCAUAAAGGUUAGGGAAAAACAUGGGUUAUAAAGUGUAAGCAGCAAUGGUUGCAAAAAUGUUAUAGGCAGAAAAGGUUCCAAGAAUGUAUGGUUGGCUCAAUAUUGGAAAAGUCAAACCAAUAUUUACUGUCAUUAGUAGUAAAAGAAAAAGAAAAAGAAUAUUUGUAUUAAGAAAACAGAAUAUUUUAUAAAAUAGGUUGGUUACCACAAAAUUGUAUCCAUACACUUGAUNUCAUCCCAUGCAGAGCCGUUCCAUUCCCAGACGGUAAUAUCAUCUACUACUUCAUACUGUUUGUUCAAGCAAACUUUGAGAGGUUUCAUUCCAGGUGCUUUCAACACUGUAAAAUGAAAAAAGAGACACUAUUUAUAACUAAACAAAGAAGAAGAAAAAAGAAAAUCAUGAUAAUGGAGAAUAUGCAAAUCAAAAGGCCAUCCAUGUUCAACUACUGCAAUGUGUGUCGCAACAACUGCGACAAUCGCAAAUUGCAACACCCGUAACCGCAAUUGUGCCUCGACCAUUAUUUAUUUAAGUAAAAACAAGAAACAUAGGUGUUAAUAAAUAAAAAAUAUAAACACAGAAUAUGAUAUAUGGUGGAGCAUAAGAAAAAUGAAGUAUACCCAUAAAGGAAUGAAUGGUAGGUUCCCAAUGUUCAAGAAAGCUUCAUGUGGAAGUUCAACCUCAACCAAAGCAAGCUUUGGUUCAACUCUUUGCGUGCAUGCCCUCCCUUUUGAAUUCACAACCACCCACUGGCGAUCCCAUCGAAAUCCUAACAAGUAAAAUAUUGAAUAAAAAAGUUCAAAUAAAUUAAAAUAGAAAAUCAUAAGAAGGAAUAUAUGGUACCAAAAGGAGUGAGAGGAGCAUGAGGAAGAGAAAUUCCACGGCAUGAUUUAAUUGGAUAGGUGAAAAUGCCAGUAAUUUUCACUUCAGGUGAUGCUAAUUCUGUUGCAAAAGAUGGUGUAACUGUUGCAGCGCCCAUUGUUGUUUCUUGUUCUCUCUUUCUCUUUGUUGCUUUGUUUAUAAAUAGACUCAGUUCAAUGCAAAAAUGCAA